rfam:Chlorocebus sabaeus isolate 1994-021 chromosome 21, whole genome shotgun sequence.
GACAGCUGGGGCCCAGUCCCCAGGAUUCACUUGGCACGGACAACUUGCUAAGUAAAGCGGGGGGUGGACCACGGCUGGCUC